rnacentral:lncRNA from 1 species
GAAUAAUGUCUUAAGGAUUGAUAACUCUUCAAAAGCCAUGUGUCAUGUUUCUAGCUUCUUCUUCACCUAGUGGAGGAAAGCAUAAGGAGCAUGGUAGUAGCAAUAUUUCCUAGACAAGAAUAAAGUUAAUUAUUCAUCAGAUUCACGUGGAAAGUCUACUGGAAAAGUUAUUCAAUCUCACUGGCAAAAGUGUUGCAAGAAAUACCCUGAGCACUUAUUUUGGACCUUUGGACUCUGGUUGAGAAUAGUCCUGAUAGACUAAUUCAUUAUGAAAGAAAAUCCAUAUAAGACAAAUUAUCAAAGUUGAAAAUGUAAUUUUCAUGGGAAUGAAUAUUACACAUUUAUUGAAAUACAAAAUAAUAAAUCAUAUAUAAAUAUAUACAUUUGAACUUAUAAUGCAAAAGAAAAUAAAUCGAUGAAAAUAUUUUACAUAAAAAGAAGACUGGCACCACAGUGUUAAGCAAGAAGAACUCUUGAGAAGAAUAAAAUAGGCCCCAACUUCACAAACACAAAGGUGCCUGAGAUCUGCUGGCGGGGUUCUCAAAGUGCAAAAUGAUCUUCACAAAUAUGAAGAAAUACUCCAAUUAUCACAAUUAUCAAACAGAGUAUUUGGGUCUAUCUACACUGGGGCUGUGACUGAUGUCCAGCGGAUGGGUAUGUGAAUUAUCAUCUCUGUCAAAUAUCCCUUUCUCUGUUUCUUGAACACUGCACUGUGUAUGUUGCAUGCCAUCUUGAGCAUGAAUGACAUGCCCUGUUGUCACCCUCCACUCAGGUUGUUCAAUUAUCAAGUGGCAUUAGAAACUAUAUGUGUAUAUAGAUAUAUACACACACACAUCAUUAUAUGAAUAUGUGUAUAUACAUAUAUAUAUGAAUGAAAGAGAAAAAUAUUUUUGCUUUUUGUGGUUGGUAUGUAGUGGCAAUAUAAGUACUAUUAUUUAAAUGAAUAAAAUGAUUACAAGUUAUCAAUUAUAUUGAUUUUUAUAAACACUGUUUACAUUCAGUUAUAGUAUUGGUCCCACAGCAGGAAAAUAUAUGAAAGAGAAAAUAAAUUGCCAAAUAAAAUAAUUACAUUCCAGACUUUUAUAAAAAUUCAGGGAUCUGGACAUGUGUCAAUAUUCUCAAUAUUCUGGUUGUGAC